rnacentral:tRNA from 1 species
UAGCUCAGUGGUAGGGUGCCUGCCUAGCAUGCAUGAAACCCUGGGUUUGAUCCCCAG